rnacentral:rRNA from 1 species
ACAGCAGCAGCCACGGUAAUACGAAGGGUGCAAGCGUUACUCGGAAUUACUGGGCGUAAAGCGUGCGUAGGUGGUGGUUUAAGUCCGUUGUGAAAGCCCUGGGCUCAACCUGGGAAUUGCAGUGGAUACUGGGUCACUAGAGUGUGGUAGAGGAUAGUGGAAUUUCCGGUGUAGCAGUGAAAUGCGUAGAGAUCGGAAGGAACAUCUGUGGCGAAGGCGGCCAUCUGGGACAACACUGACGCUGAGGCACGAAAGCGUGGGGAGCAAACAGGAUUAGAUACCCCCGUAGUCCCUGUCUCUUAUAC